GGACGCCGGAGGUUAAAAUCCUCCCUACUGCU
rnacentral:tRNA from 1 species